rnacentral:tRNA from 1 species
GCCUGGGUGGCUCAGUUGGUUGAGCGUCUGACUUCGGCUCAGGUCAUGAUCUCACGGUCCGUGAGUUCGAGCCCCAUGUCGGGCU